UCCUGACCCAGGGCUGCAUUUCCCCCCGGGUGACGUGGGCAUGGGUGCAAUCCUGUGUUGGGCUCGGGGGAGAACUUUGCUUCCUUCUCUCUGCUCGCGCGCUGCCCGUGAGUGGUUCCAGUCUGAGGAAGGAGUCGGUGUGGGUCGCUGAGGAAAGGACUCUGCGGACCUAGAUUUCUCCGCGCGCGCGCGCGGGAACCUGCGUGGCGGUGGGAGGGGGCUGCGGCAGGCGCUCAAAGCGCGGGGUCGCGAGCGCGAUCCGGGCGUGUAUGUCCGCCCCUCAGCUCUGACGAUCUGCAUCUGUGCUUUUCUGAUAGCAUGACCCUCAGGACUGAUCUGCUCUUGCAGAUCUAAAACCAUGGCACAUGGAUCAGUGACAUUCACAGAUGUGGCUGUAGAUUUCUCUCGGCAGGAAUGGGAAUGUCUUAACCUUACUCAGAAAACCUUAUACCAGGAUGUGAUGAUGGAGAACUGUGCUAACUUGGUCUCACUGGCCAGAUAUUCCAUUUCUAAGCCUGACGUAAUCACAUUAUUAGAGCAAGGAAAAGAGCCCUGGAUGAUUGUAAGGGAAGAAACAAGAAGAUGGUGUAUUGGGCUGGCGCUGUGGUGCAGCGGGUUAAUGCCCUGGCUUGAAGCGCUGGCAUCCCAUAUGGGCGCUGAUUCGAGACCUGGCUGCUCCACUUCUGAUCCAGCUCUCUGCUAUGG